UAGGGAAUAUUGGACAAUGGGUGAGAGCCUGAUCCAGCCAUGCCGCGUGCAGGAAGAAGGCGUUAUGCGUUGUAAACUGCUUUUUGCCAGGGGAUAAAAAGACCGUGCGCGGUUAAUUGAAGGUACCUGGUGAAUAAGCCACGGCUAACUACGUGCCAGCAGCCGCGGUAAUACGUAGGUGGCAAGCGUUGUCCGGAUUUAUUGGGUUUAAAGGGUGCGUAGGUGGCCCUGUAAGUCAGUGGUGAAAGACGGUCGCUCAACGAUUGCAGUGCCAUUGAUACUGGUAGACUUGAGUAUGAUUGAGGUAGCUGGAAUGGAUAGUGUAGCGGUGAAAUGCAUAGAUAUUAUCCAGAACACCAAUUGCGUAGGCAAGUUACUAAGUCAUAACUGACGCUGAGGCGCGAAAGCCAGGGGAGCAAACGGGAUUAGAUACCCUCGUAGUCCCUGAGCGGGCUGGCAAGGCGCAU
rnacentral:rRNA from 1 species